AGGGGGCACCCGACAUUCUUCAAGGUGGACGGGCCAACAUCCAGACCCUGAGAGCCCCCGUUCCAGUGCCUCCCAGGGAAGGGUGCCAGGCCCAGGCCUCCCCAUCCUGCGGGCGACAAUGGCCGGAGGUGGCGCAUGCGCCGGUGGGCAAGGCUGGCCGCCCGCGGAACAGGCGCGCCACCUGCUGGCUGGCUCGAGAACGGCUGCCCCGGAUCGGCGGCCUAGAGUCUUCUCGCGAGACCCCUGGCCCGUGGCUGGGCGAGGCCCUACCAGCAGGUGAUCAAGGUCACCAGGGCAGCGUCCUGCAAUGUGCCCAGGCCCCAGCAAGCAGGUGGCUGCGCCCCGAAGGCAAUCGUGAACGUGGUCAUCUCAGUCCACCUGGAGACGAUUAAUUAGCUGCAGUGGAGCUUCCCCCAGCGUCCCCUCUGGGAAGAGCUAAAGGCCUCCAUCUGCUCCUUUCUGUGAUGCGCAGGUGCCCCUUCAGGUGGGCAGGGGGCUCCGGGGGUCACCUGGGGCCACCCCGAGCCCUGGGCUGGGGGUCCUGCGCCCGCUGGUGUCUCACACGUCGUCGUUCCGAGAGCAGCUGCCUGCAGCGAAAGAGCCUUCCCAGAAAGGGCGGGGAAGGCUCUUCGAUGCAGAGGAGGAAGCAGAGCCUCUGGGAACAAAGUGCAUAGUACCUCUUGGGGCGCCCAUCCCCUGAGGGGCCGGAGCGGGAAGGGACAGGCUCCCGCUUGCCGCCUCCCCGCCCCCGCCGGCGGCGCCUCCUCCCCCGGGCGGCGCCUCCCAGAGCCCCCGGGGCACGGGUGGUCCUGUGCCUUGCUGGCCAGCCUCCUCUUGCGGGGACCCGGGAGUCAGCGCGGCUCGUCCUGGGCCCCGCUGGCGGUCCUGCCUGGGUGUCCCCUUUCUGAAGCUGCCGGUUCUCCAGGGGGUGUAAUCCCUUCGUCCAAACAGCCGCGUAAUAGGAAAAAGCUGAGUAUGAGAAAUGUCACUGGCUCUCAGGAGGCAGGACAGAAACCAAAGACCCAGAGGCGGACAAGCCCUGUGGAGGCAGCCAGCCACAGGGAGGCUGGAGGAGCAGAGCUUAGAGUUCUGUCCCGGAGCCCAGGCCCCCAUGACGCCUCCCUCAAAUCGCGGUGUAGGUUACUGCGCCGAAGCGACACUGGCACCUGGGGUUUGUGUAGUUUCAUCAUCUCAACGCAGGGGUGAUUCCUGUGGCCAUUCUGCAAUCAAGAUGCAGAGUCCCACCCUUCAAGGACCCCUCCUGCUGCCCCUUCUAUUGUCCCUGCCAACCCUAACCCCUGCCAACCACUGGCAGCCAUCUCCAUAAUUUUGUCACUUUGGCGAUGUUAGGUAAGUGGAAUCCAACAGGGGGUGACCUUUUGGGCUUGACGUUGUGCGUGGCAUUCCACUGCACAGUCACACUAAGCCAGUUUGACCGUUUACCUACUGAGGGGCAGGUUUGGCUGCUACAGUAAAGCUGCUAGGAACACACAUAAGCUUUGUGUGGAUGUAAGUUUUCAUUUCUCUGGGAUAAAUGCCCAGGAAUGCAGUUGCUGGGUUACGUGGUACGUGCAUGUUUAGUUUUCUUAGAGACUGUCAAACGGCUUUCCAGAUAUCUAUACCAUUUCAUACUCCUACCAGUGAGACACAAGAGUGACCCAGUUUCUCUACAGCCUUGUCAGCAUUUGGUGGUGUCACUAUUUUUAAUUUCAGUCAUUCUGGUGGGUAUGUGGUGUAUGUAUCUCACUGUGGUUUUAAUUUACAUUUCUCUAAUGGCUAAUGAUGUUGAGUGUCUUUAUAUCUGCUUAUCUGCCAUCUGUACAUCUUCAAUAAAAUGUCUCUUCAUG